GGGGGGGGGGGGAGUUAUUAAAUUUAUUUUAAGUUUUAAAUUAAAUCAUAUUUUAACACAUGCUUUUGUUUUUUGUAUUUUUCCCCUCUUUUACUCACAGGCAGGUUUCUUGUAGGUGAAUAGAAGUACAAUGCCUUCAGAAAGUUUUCAUACCCAUUGACUUAUUCCACAUUUUGUUUUCAGUCUGAAAUCAAAAUGGGGGGGGGGAGGGGGAAAUCUCACCCAUCUACACACAAUACCCCAUAAUGACAAAGUGAAAAGUGUUUGCUUAUUUAUUAGAAAAUGAAAUACAGUUAUCAUUUACAUAUGUUUUCACACCCCUGAGUCAAUACAUUAGAAUCACUUUAGCAGCAAUUAUACUAACUGUCUUUCUGGGUAAAUUUAAGAGCUUUCUACACCUGGAUUAUACAAUAUUUGUCAAUUUUAUUAUUUUCAAAAUUCUUCAAGCUCUGUCAAAUUGGUUGUUGAUCAUAACUAGGCAACCGUUUAUGUCUUGCCCAAGAUUUUCAAGCAGAUUUAAGUCAAAACUGUAGAUCGGCCCAUCGGGAACAUUCACAGCCUUUAUGGUAAGCAAUUCCAGUGUAGAUUUGGCCUUGUGUUUUAGGUUAUUGUCCUACUGAAAGGUGAAUUCAUCUCCCAGUGUCUGGUGUAAGCAGAUUGAACCAGGUUUUGCACUAGGAUUUUUCCUGUGCUUAGCUCCAUUAUUCCUGAAAAACACCCCAGUCUUUAAUGAUUACAAGCAUAACCAUAACAUGAUACAGCCACCAUUAUGCUUGAAAAUAUGGAGAGUGGUACUUUGAUGUUUGGGGAAAAUCCAAAAAAUGCUUGUUUUGCCCAAAUCUUGCUUUAUUGCGUUGUUGCGAUCAGGAUGCAUGUUUUGUAUUUUUUUUAAAUUCCGUACAGGUUUCCUUUUCACUCUGUCAUUUAGGUUAAUGUUGUGGCUGAACUACAAUGUUGAUCCAUCCUUAGUUUUCGCAUCCCAGCCAUUAAUUGUUUUAAAGUCACCAUUGGCCUCAUGUUGAAAUCCUUAAAUGUUAUCCUUCCUCUCCGACAACUGAGUUAGGAAGGACGCAUGUAUCUUUCUAGUGACUGGGUGUAUUGAUACACCAUCCAAAGUGUAAUUAAUGACUUCACCAUGCUCAAACGGCUAUUCGGUGUCUGUUUAUAGAAAUGUUUUAAUCAAUAGGUUCCCUUUUUUGCAAGUCUUUGCAAAACCACCUCUGUCGUUGUGGUUGAAUCUGUUUUGAAAUACACUGCUCCACUGGAGUAAAGGGAUGAGGUCAUUCAACAACCAUGUUAAACACUGCCUGCACACAGUGAGUCCAUGGAACGUAUGUGACUGAAGAAAAUGUUUACUUCUGAAUGCAAGGCUUGUCGUGACAAAGGGGUUGAAUACUUAUUGGCUCAAGACAUUUCAGCUUUACAUUUUUUUAUUAACAAUCCCAUGCUGACAUUGGGGUAUAGUGGUGUAGAAGAUGCCUUUAGUGCACUGAACAAAAAUAUAAAUGCAACAAUUUUGAUGAUUUGACUGAGUUACAGGUCAUAUAAGGAAAUUAGUCAAUUUGAAAUAAAUUUAUCAGGCCCUAAUCUAUAGAUUUUACAUGACUGGGAAUACAGAUAUGCAUAUGUUGGUCACAGAUACCUUAAAUAUAUAUGGGGUGUGGAUCAGAACCAUUCAGUGUCUGGUAUGCCUGGCUGCAUCACGGCUUGGUAUGGUAAUAGCACCGCCCUCGUCACAUGGCGCUACAGAGGGUUGUGCAGACAGCCCAGUACAUCACUGGGCUGAGCUCCCUGCCAUCCAAAACCUCUAUCAGGCGGUGUGAAAAGAAGGCCCGGGAAAAUCGUCCAAGACCUACCUACCCAAGCCAUAGACCAUUUUCUCUGCUGCCGCACAGGAAGAGGUACCGCUGCAUCAGGUGUGACGUCAACGGGAUCUUGAACAGCUUCUAUCCCCAAGCAACACGACUCAUAAAUAGCUACACGGACUGAGUUUACCUUCUAUCUUCAUUGACCUUUUAUUUCUAUGCACACUCACAUGGCCCUACACAGACACAAACAUAAUAAUUUGCUCACUCAAACAAAAUAUGCACGUUUUGUAAAGGUGUGUAGUCAGUAUAAAUCUAUGUAGUUCUGUCCUUGAGCUGUUCUUGUGUAUUGUCAUUCUAUAUUAUGUUUCAUGUUUUGUGUGGACCCCAGGAAGAGUAGCUGCUGCUUUUGCAACAGCUAAUGGGGAUCCUAAUAAAAUCCCCAAAUACCUCUCGCAUACAAUCUGCUGCUACUCUUAUAUCCUGUUGUCUAGUCACCUUUCCACUACACAUGUAUCUCUGCACAUGUAAAUAUGGUAUUGGAACUGACUUUAUAAAUAUUUCCUGUAUAUUGUAGGCUUACUUUAAUGUGUAUUUCUUAUUCUUAUUUCUCGUGUGCUUUUUUUCUGGUAUUACAUUAUUGAUUUGUAUUCUUGGGUUUUGAGUUUGCAAGAAAGGCAUUUUACUGUACUAGUGCAUGUGACAUUAAAACUUGAAACUUGAUCACCA